rnacentral:lncRNA from 1 species
CAAAUUUCAUUCACUCUUUUUGAUCUGCCGUUCUCUUUUGUUUUCCAAGGAAAAAACAAAACACCCUCUCCCCCUUUUGUCUUUCCAACGAUCGGGCUCCCUCACCGUCCACCGUACCACCACCGUUUUCGGUGGCCGGUGACGCGCAAUAAUAGGUAUUUCAACCCCGUUUUUGGGACCCUUUGAAGGCCGAGUUUUCAGCCAAACAAUGCGGAAAUGAAAGGGUCUCUCCCUCUCUAAAUGACGCGACCCUGACGACGGAGGAGGGAUCUCCGGUGAUGAAGCCCCGACCGAUUCCGGUGAGGCCCUCUACUCCCUCCUUUUAUUUAUUUUCGUGCCCACUUUAUUUAAUAGAUUUGCAAGUAAAGAUAAAAAGAAACUAAAAUAGAUUAGCAAUGAAAUGAAAACAAAGAGAAUAGAUCGGAAAUCACCCUUUUUUAUCUGUUUUGCUCUUGAUUUUUAUUGCUAAAUGUUCGUGUCCAAAAAAAACUACAAAUGGAUGUUUCGACUCUUAUAACUGAAUUACAUAGAUUCAUUUUUUGUUUUUUUUCUUCUUGUCUACUAUUUUUUCUUCUUCGUUUCUUGUGUUUCGCGUGCUAGUUUCGUCUUGCAGGUGUCAGACGUGUGGAAGGCCGAUGGUUGGUGCCCCAAGCGGUGGUGGUGGCGCGCGUGAUGGCCAAGGGCAGAGGGGGGAGUGGCGGCUGAACUUUGGUGGCUAGGGUUAGGGUGGCUGCUGAACAAAAGUUUAAGAUAGUGGGCUGACUUGGGCUUUAGGGUUUUAGGUUAUUGGGUUUAUUUUGGGCUAAAAUCUGGGUAUUGGGUUUUAAUUAGGUUUUGUUUUAAUUUUGAGCCAUGUAUUGGACUAUUUUUUUGUUUAUUUGGUUUGGGUUCUUUUAGGCCAAAAUUGGCUAUUACAUCUAGCAUUGGAGCUAAGCCAAAUUUCUCCAAUGUCUUAAGAACAUUAAGUAGUAAUCAAAAAAAUAAGAACCUCGUGUUGAGAUAUUUAUCAAUAUUUAAAGAGUAGUGCCGGCCAAUUUACUUCUAAGUCAUUAAAAAGAAACUUCAGUCCUCCAAUCACAAUUAAACACUUCUCUACAUUUUCAUCCAUAUCAGUGAGGGGCUCUGCAUUGAUAAUGGUAAAAUUUAUUUUGGCACUCUUAAAAAUAAUAAAAAUUUAAUUUAAUCCUUUAAAAAUUAUAAAGAUAUAGGCUAUUAAAAUAGUGAAUUGUAUUUUUAAUAUCGUAAAAACAUAUAAUUUAAUUCCGGCCUCCCAAAAAGAAAUUUUGACUCCGUCCCCC